UUUUUAUAUGGCUUAUUUGUUUAAUUAUUUUUUGUGUAUAUAUAUAUAUAUAUAUUUGGUUUUGAAAGUUCAGUAAUCAAAAUCAACUUACCAGAGAGGGAAUUGAAAAAGAGAGAUCUUAAGUGACACGCUGAGAAUCAGUGAUAACUUGUUCAGUGGCAAAAUUGUGGUUUUAAUGCCUCAAGAGUGUCAAGAACUGUCUGGAGGCAGUGGUGCUGCACCUCUUGUUCAGGAAGUUUUUUUCCCCAAAAUAUUAACUUACUGCAGGAGCAUUGGAUGAGCCUAUCCUGCUUUUAGGAAGUGUAGCGAGGGAACUGAAUGGCGUUUUGAUAUAGGCUAACCAGAGAGUUCCAGAAACUCCUCACAUAUUUUCAGGUUUUGAGGUAACCAACAGCAUUCUUGUGCACUUAGUUCUUUUUUUUUUUUUCUUCUUAUUGAAAACUACUUUUUCAACCAAUUAUGUUUAAACUAUUUAAUGUCUGUGAAGAAUCUAUUUGCUGAGUCAUGAUGUCUAAAUCUGUAGCAGAAUAUAAAGGUAUUGAGUGAAUGUGAAAAACUACUUAUCUGAAUGGUCGGUAGUGACGCUGGGGGUAUCCAUUGUAGGGGAACCAGAACUGUAGACCUUGGGGCUGCAUCUUUUUAAGGAUGAAGUGCAAUCGCCUAUCUUCUCGUGCCAGGACUUUUCAGAAGCGCUGGGGGUCUGAAUUAUUUUUUAAGUGUUUAUUCUACUUCAGAGCUGGGUUAUGUGAGGUCUCCAAAUUUCCUGCUUUACACCAUUAGGACUAACAAUUUGCGAAGGUCUUCUGUUGAUGGAAUUAGAAAUAAUUCUGCUGCUCCACAGACUAAUACAAAUAAUUUCAGAUGCUUAUGAUUCUAGGGGAAAAUAAAGCUGUUCUCAUGAGCCCAAAAUGUCCAGAAGAUUGUGAAGUUGUUUCCCCUGGUUUCUCCAUCAGAAUGGCUGUUGUGGUUAAUUUUGUUUCAAGAAAAUUGAUGUCAAGACCUGACUUUUUUUCUUUCCCUUCCCUUGGAUGCAUGGACUUGCUUCAUUUCCAUCUAGAAUACGAUUUUUCUGUUAGCAUGAAUGAACAUGUAAUUCCUUCAGAACCUUUCAAAAAUAGAAGUGUGACUUCAACUGUUCCUAGACAAAAUAUAAUCCUGGCUUCACAGAUACUUCUGUGAGUUGUUACAGCCCAGCUCUUGAGAAUACAAAGUUAAGUUUGCAGAUGUUUUGGCAUGAUUGGUCUUGAGAAGCCUACCAAGAAGCAAGCAGAAAAACUUUUGGUGGACAAGGUGAGUUACCUUUGCCUUUCUUAUUUUGAUCCCCUUGAUUCAAGGGGUCAUUGAGUUUAAAAAUUCCCAGCUUUGCAUUGUUUUAAUUUUGUUAACCCUUAUUUAGCAUCCAAAAGAAUACUUCCUGCACAUAAGUUUGGGUUUAUCAGGUUUCCAGCUUCAAUCCCCACCACUCUUUCUGAGCAUAAAGCCUGGGAUGGUGAGGGCAUGGUGGAGAGAAGAAUGGGAAGAAACAUGGGGAUGAGUCUGUCUUUUGACAUUUGAAUGUGGCCACGUGGUUACGUUUCAGUAUGACUACCAGUGCCUGGAUUACGCUUCAGCUUGAUUGAUUGAGGCAGAUCUUGGAAAAAAUGCAAAAUUUCAAGGAGCUGCUGAGGCCAAAGCAAUGUUUCAGGAGGGAUGAGGAGGACCAAAAGAACUCCAUCACCAUCUUCUCAUUUUGUAUUGCAUUUCAGAAUCUUUGCACAUCGAACCACUCUUCAUCCUGUGAGUACCUCAUGAGUAUGCCUGACUUUAAGAAAUGAAUCUCGCCUAAAAAGAUGAUUUAAUUCCCUUGAGCCUUAUUUUCAGAAGGAUAAUGGUGCAGCUUCUAAAGCACAGAAAACUAUCUUUUAGCAAUGUCAGCAAUCCAGUGAAGGACUCACUGAAGGAAACUGCUUCAAAUCCUGGCUUCAUGCAAAUUAGGAAGUUUGAACAAGGAAAAGACCUAUAGAGGAACACCACUGGGACAUCCUCUGGCCUCUCUUUUACAGCAGGUGCGUCGAGACUCAUGGGGACCAUUUGUGCAAGCCCACAGGCACUGGCUGCCAUGGAGCACCUCAGCUCUUUUGCACUAUGAUCAGAAGGCAGCUGGUCUCUGGGACACCCAAGACCCUGUCUGUGAUGUGGACUACAGGCACUGUGGAAACGUGUAUCCCUCGGGACUGACAGAAAAGUAUAAGAAAUAUUGCCAAGUGUGUUAGAGACCAACAGGGAAACCCCAUGUGUGAAGAGUGAUCAUGCGGCUCUUCGUAUCGAGGACCAGAAAACCAGUCCAAGAACUCCACAGCAGACACGCAAUAAUGCUAUCUCCCCAAACAGACAUCAUCUUAAUCUCUAUGUAUUUCCAAAACUGAAAAGCCAAGUUUAAGAAUCCCUCUAAAAUUCUUGGCAUUCCCGAUAUAGUAUCAGUUUUGAAUCCUAAGGUCUGGGCUUCAGAUUUCCUGAAAUAAUUAACUCUGUUGAACAUGUUCUGGGAAAAACCCCUGUAUGACAGACUUGCUCACCAGCCAAGACUGACCUGGUAGGGAAGACAUUUCCAACAAUCUUGUGAUUGAAGAUUUUUUAUGUAACUGCUGAUGAUAAAAAGAAUGCACUGAAUCUGACUCACAAGCGUUAAGGGUGGGACUAAUAUUGCUGAAUUAAUACAUUUCUAGCAAAUUUUAUGAUGCAUACAGAGGCCCUAAUUCUUUCCUUUGUAUGAUAUUUUAAUUUCUUUUCCCCUGAACGUUUCUCAUGGCACUCAUACCAUCUCUUCUUUCUGCUGGCUUCUCUCUCCCUUUUAUAGAUAGAAAGCAUGCUACUUCAUCAAAAUUUUCAGUAUAGAUUCCGAAUAUAUUUCAUGGAAUCUGCUGCUUAAAGUCCAACUUUGUCCCAUACAGCAUUGACAGUACUGUACUGCAGAGGGUCAAGGAUAGUAUGAAGACAGUGGACAUUUUUUUUUUCCCUUUUGCACUGAAUAUUAUGGAAUUGUUAUCACUGGAAGCUUUCGAUUUAAGUCUUUAUAUUGAAAAAUGAGAGCAUU